CAAGUCUGACGGAGCAACGCCGCGUGAGUGACGAAGGUUUUCGGAUCGUAAAACUCUGUUGUGAGGGAAGAACACGUACCAGCUAACUACUGGUACCUUGACGGUACCUCACCAGAAAGCCACGGCUAACUACGUGCCAGCAGCCGCGGUAAUACGUAGGUGGCAAGCGUUGUCCGGAAUUAUUGGGCGUAAAGCGCGCGCAGGCGGUCCCUUAAGUCUGAUGUGAAAGCCCACGGCUCAACCGUGGAGGGUCAUUGGAAACUGGGGGACUUGAGUGCAGAAGAGGAAAGUGGAAUUCCACGUGUAGCGGUGAAAUGCGUAGAGAUGUGGAGGAACACCAGUGGCGAAGGCGACUUUCUGGUCUGUAACUGACGCUGAGGCGCGAAAGCGUGGGGAGCAAACAGGAUUAGAUACCCUGGUAGUCCACGCCGUAAACGAUGAGUGCUAAGUGUUAGGGGGUUUCCGCCCCUUAGUGCUGCAGCUAACGCAUUAAGCACUCCGCCUG
rnacentral:rRNA from 1 species